UCCCUGGUGGCUCAGAUGGUAAAGCAUCUGCCUGCAAUGUGGGAGACCUGGGUUCAAUCCCUGGUCAGGAAG
rnacentral:tRNA from 1 species